rnacentral:rRNA from 2 species
CGAACGAACUCUGGUAUUGAUUGGUGCUUGCAUCAUGAUUUACAUUUGAGUGAGUGGCGAACUGGUGAGUAACACGUGGGAAACCUGCCCAGAAGCGGGGGAUAACACCUGGAAACAGAUGCUAAUACCGCAUAACAACUUGGACCGCAUGGUCCGAGCUUGAAAGAUGGCUUCGGCUAUCACUUUUGGAUGGUCCCGCGGCGUAUUAGCUAGAUGGUGGGGUAACGGCUCACCAUGGCAAUGAUACGUAGCCGACCUGAGAGGGUAAUCGGCCACAUUGGGACUGAGACACGGCCCAAACUCCUACGGGAGGCAGCAGUAGGGAAUCUUCCACAAUGGACGAAAGUCUGAUGGAGCAACGCCGCGUGAGUGAAGAAGGGUUUCGGCUCGUAAAACUCUGUUGUUAAAGAAGAACAUAUCUGAGAGUAACUGUUCAGGUAUUGACGGUAUUUAACCAGAAAGCCACGGCUAACUACGUGCCAGCAGCCGCGGUAAUACGUAGGUGGCAAGCGUUGUCCGGAUUUAUUGGGCGUAAAGCGAGCGCAGGCGGUUUUUUAAGUCUGAUGUGAAAGCCUUCGGCUCAACCGAAGAAGUGCAUCGGAAACUGGGAAACUUGAGUGCAGAAGAGGACAGUGGAACUCCAUGUGUAGCGGUGAAAUGCGUAGAUAUAUGGAAGAACACCAGUGGCGAAGGCGGCUGUCUGGUCUGUAACUGACGCUGAGGCUCGAAAGUAUGGGUAGCAAACAGGAUUAGAUACCCUGGUAGUCCAUACCGUAAACGAUGAAUGCUAAGUGUUGGAGGGUUUCCGCCCUUCAGUGCUGCAGCUAACGCAUUAAGCAUUCCGCCUGGGGAGUACGGCCGCAAGGCUGAAACUCAAAGGAAUUGACGGGGGCCCGCACAAGCGGUGGAGCAUGUGGUUUAAUUCGAAGCUACGCGAAGAACCUUACCAGGUCUUGACAUACUAUGCAAAUCUAAGAGAUUAGACGUUCCCUUCGGGGACAUGGAUACAGGUGGUGCAUGGUUGUCGUCAGCUCGUGUCGUGAGAUGUUGGGUUAAGUCCCGCAACGAGCGCAACCCUUAUUAUCAGUUGCCAGCAUUAAGUUGGGCACUCUGGUGAGACUGCCGGUGACAAACCGGAGGAAGGUGGGGAUGACGUCAAAUCAUCAUGCCCCUUAUGACCUGGGCUACACACGUGCUACAAUGGAUGGUACAACGAGUUGCGAACUCGCGAGAGUAAGCUAAUCUCUUAAAGCCAUUCUCAGUUCGGAUUGUAGGCUGCAACUCGCCUACAUGAAGUCGGAAUCGCUAGUAAUCGCGGAUCAGCAUGCCGCGGUGAAUACGUUCCCGGGCCUUGUACACACCGCCCGUCACACCAUGAGAGUUUGUAACACCCAAAGUCGGUGGGGUAACCU